GCCAGGUGUGGUGGUGCACACCUGUAAUCCCAGCUACUAGGGAGGCUGAGGCACAAGAAUCGCUUGAACCUGGGAGGCAGAGGUUGCAGUGAGCUGAGAUCACACCACUGCACUCCAGCCUAGGCAACAGAGUGAAAUUGUGUCUCAA
ensembl:misc_RNA Metazoa_SRP Metazoan signal recognition particle RNA